rnacentral:rRNA from 1 species
UACAGAGGUCCCAAGCGUUGUCCGGAAUCAUUGGGCGUAAAGCGCGCGUAGGCGGCCAGAUAAGUCCGGUGUGAAAGUCAAAGGCUCAACCUUUGAAUGCCGCUGGAAACUGUCUGGCUAGAGUCCGGGAGGGGCGAGUGGAAUUCCUGGUGUAGCGGUGAAAUGCGCAGAUAUCAGGAGGAACACCAAUGGCGAAGGCAGCUCGCUGGAACGGUACUGACGCUGAGGCGCGAAAGCGUGGGGAGCGAACAGG